UACGGAGGGUGCAAGCGUUAUCCGGAUUCACUGGGCUUAAAGGGUGCGUAGGCGGGCAGGUAAGUCCGUGGUGAAAUCUCUGAGCUUAACUCAGAAACUGCCAUGGAUACUAUUUGUCUUGAAUAUUGUGGAGGUAAGCGGAAUAUGUCAUGUAGCGGUGAAAUGCUUAGAUAUGACAUAGAACACCAAUUGCGAAGGCAGCUUACCGCACAGUUAUUGACGCUGAGGCACGAAAGCGUGGGGAUCAAACAGG
rnacentral:rRNA from 1 species